rnacentral:tRNA from 1 species
GGCGGCAUAGCCAAGUGGUAAGGCAUGGCUCUGCAAAAGCUUGAUCCCCAGUUCAAAUCUGGGUGCCGCCU